rnacentral:rRNA from 1 species
AGUGAACGCUGGCGGUAGGCCUAACACAUGCAAGUCGAACGGCAGCACAGUAAGAGCUUGCUCUUACGGGUGGCGAGUGGCGGACGGGUGAGGAAUACAUCGGAAUCUACUUUUUCGUGGGGGAUAACGUAGGGAAACUUACGCUAAUACCGCAUACGACCUACGGGUGAAAGCAGGGGAUCUUCGGACCUUGCGCGAUUGAAUGAGCCGAUGUCGGAUUAGCUAGUUGGCGGGGUAAAGGCCCACCAAGGCGACGAUCCGUAGCUGGUCUGAGAGGAUGAACAGCCACAAUGGAACUGAGACACGGUCCAGACUCCUACGGGAGGCAGCAGUGGGGAAUAUUGGACAAUGGGCGGAAGCCUGAUCCAGCCAUACCGCGUGGGUGAAGAAGGCCUUCGGGUUGUAAAGCCCUUUUUUUGGGAAAGAAAAGCAGCAGGUUAAAACCCCGGUGGUCUGACGGUAACCAAAGAAUAAGCACCGGCUAACUUCGUG